GGUGAUAUUUGUGUUUUUCUUAUCCUGGAUUAGGCAGGAGAGUGUAUCCACGCCUCUGCUUGGGGUGUUUAUUUGCCAGUUGUGGGGGAGAUUUGUGACAUUCCAAGAGGAGUUAACCUUCAGGAUUGUAAACCCUGCUGGCUACCCCUGACUAUCAGCCAUUUUCGGCUUCAAGGGCACAAACUGAGGAAGUGUCAGUGUCUGGUCUCAGGGUGGGUGAUUGUGUAUGUAUUGAGGAGGAAAUAUGAUUAUCAUUCCCAUCAGAGGAAGCUGGAACUCAAGAGAAGGAAGGGCCUUGCUGGAGAUAAUAAGGACGUCACUUGCUCCUCUUUGCCUUCUGCCAUGAUUGCGAGGCCUCCUCAGCCAUGUGGAACUGUGAGUUCUUUAAACCUCUUUUUUUGGUAAAUUGCCCAGUCUUGGGUAUGUCUCUAUCAACAGCGUGAAAAUAGACUAAUAUAAUUGUGCCGUCUGUUCUCUCUUCCUGGACCACUUUUCAUCUAGGUGGUCACAUGACUCACCCCAGUCCCAUUCUCAUUAGGGACUCCACUCCAGUAUCACUGCUCAGAAAGGCCUUCUGACUCAUCUGCCUGAAACAGCAGCUCAUGUCACUCACUGUCCUCUUACCCUCUUUUAUUCGGACUCAGCCCAUCUCAUUACCUGACUUUCUAUUAAAGGAAUUGGCAAAUUUUCUUUAAAGGAACAGAUAGUAUUUUUGUCUUUAUGAGUUAUAUGGUCUCUGUUGCAACUAUUCAUUCCUGCUGUUGUGGCAUAAAAUAUCUAAACACAAUAUGUAAAUAAAUGAGCAUGGCUGGGUGUCAAUAAAACUUUAUUUAUAACAACAGGUGAUGGGCUGGGUUUGGCUCUUGGACUGUAGUUUGUUUAUUUGCUUAAUGUCUC
rnacentral:lncRNA from 10 species